UCUCUCAUCAGAAAUUCCAGAAUGAAACUCUGCAUAGAUUCCCGAAAAUAAAAAAACCAUAGCCAUCAAGACCUCCUCUCUCUUGCAUCUCGCGCCGUCUCUCUCCCUCCUAUCUCUCUCUCCCGCCGCGUCCUCUCUCUCUCUCCUCUCCAAGCUCUCUCUCUCUCCCUCCUCGUUGAAUCCAAGGCGGUGGUCGCGAGUUGUGGUGGUGGCCGCGAGUUGUUGUUCUCAGAUCUCGUCUCUCUUGUUCUCUUGUUCUGGAUCUGUUCAGAUCUAAUCUUAGGCCUUCACCAUCGUGAACUACGGUUCCGGCUGACAAAAGGGGCUUCCACAGCCUCCAUCGAUCUAUAAACCAGAGCUUUUGCUCUUGGUUUGGAUGAAUCCGUGUGUGAUUUUACUCAAAUCCGUCUUUGGUUCUCUAUUUCGGCACUUUUCUCUUCCCUUCAAGAUUCCAUCGGUGGUAUUUGGGUUGUUUGGUUCAGUUUCAAGGUUAUCUCUGUAUCUCAGGUGGUCUCUCCUUUUCUUAUUGAUCUGGUUACAUGUUCUUUGUGUGCUUCAUGUGGUGUUUCUUCAAAGGUCUGUAGGGGUUGCUCUUCCUUGGGUACUUUUGCAACAGUUUUGAUUUCAGAGUGAUUGUUUUUUUCAUCUUCCGGGUGUUUGGGUUCUCGGACUUCUCUUCAAGAAACUUUGGCCUUACCCUUUUUACAUGUUGCCAGGGAAGGUUGAGUGUUAAAAUCAGUUUCUUUCCUUUCCUUGGUUGUUUAGUCUCCUUCUUCCUCUUCCUCGUGGCUUCCGGUGUGUUUUCAGAACAUAUUAUUGAAGUGCAAUUCUCCCUAAUAAAGUUCGGUGUUUGCUAUGUUUAUCUCUCCUCUUCUCUUUUUGGGUGAUUUUAGUACGUGGGUGUCUUGUAUUUUUGAUCUAGAAUAGCUAUCUAAUUAUAUUGUACCCUAUGUUUCUAAUGGUUCUGUCUUCCAGGGAUUCUUUGGAACUUGUCAAAUAUGCGGAAGGCGAAUACCAAUCUUUGGUUUAAUGCAUAUGAGUCAACGCCCUUACCUCCACAGGAGCAUCCACACCAAGAGAAACAAGUCUUAAGCUCGGAUAAUAUAUGUAUGGUAGAUGGUUCAUAGACCUCUACAUCUCGAUUCAGUGGAUGUGAAUGAGUUUGGAUGGAUAGUUUGGAUAAAAUUCAACUCAUGGGAAUGCAGAACUUAAGAAGGCGAGAGGCUGGUCUACACACAUAAUUGGAAGCACUGAGAUGGUCUACACACAUUUGACAUGUCAGAACUUUGGGACAUACUACAAAGAUCUAAUUGCAAUGCUAAAGAACCCUCAGGCUUAGCCAAGUUUUACAAAAGAAUUGGAGGUGAUACUUACUCUUAAGAUAUGCUUUCCGGACUUGAAGAUUAAUUACAUCCCAAAAGCGAGAAAUGGAAUUGCUGAUUCUUUAGCUAAGUUUGCACAGCCUUUUCGCAGAGAGCUUUGUUAUAUUUGUUUUUCUAUUCUGG